ensembl:snoRNA LOC120098699 small nucleolar RNA SNORA17
ACUGCCCCUAGAGGCAUUGCUGGUUGAGCUUUUGUGUCACAUGUGUGUCAACAGGUGGCAGAGAGAAUUUUUUCUACUAUGCUCAGUGUCCUGACCUAUGAACAUCAGAAUGAUUAGUACUCUAGCAUU